UACAGGGGGUGCAAACGUUGCUCGGAAUUAUUGGGCGUAAAGCGCGCGUAGGCGGCCGCUUAAGUCGGAUGUGAAAGCCCCUGGCUCAACUGGGGAAGUGCACCCGAAACUGAGUGGCUUGAGUACUAAAGAGGGUCGCGGAAUUCCCGGUGUAGAGGUGAAAUUCGUAGAUAUCGGGAGGAACACCGGUGGCGAAGGCGGCGACCUGGGUAGAUACUGACGCUGAGGCGCGAAAAGCGUGGGGAGCAAACAGGG
rnacentral:rRNA from 1 species